UACAGAGGGUGCGAGCGUUAAUCGGAAUUACUAGGCGUAAAGCGCGCGUAGGCGGUUUUGUAAGUCAGGUGUGAAAGCCCCAGGCUCAACCUGGGAACUGCAUUCGAGACUGCACGACUGGAGUAUGAAAGAGGGCAGCGGAAUUUCCGGUGUAGCGGUGAAAUGCGUAGAUAUCGGAAGGAACAUCAGUGGCGAAAGCGGCUGCCUGGCCCAAUACUGACGCUCAUGUGCGAAAGCGUGGAGAGCAAACAGG
rnacentral:misc_RNA from 1 species